AAGCUGCAUCGAUCGCGCGCCCGACCAGGUGUUUUUCUCUCAUCUCCGUUGUUCCCACCAAAUCUUCUACUCCUGAACGGGCACGCAAGCGGAAUAACGUGAAUCUCCCAUCCCUUCUCUCUCUCUCUCUCUGUCUCUCCUUUUUCUCCGCCUGCUCUGCCUCCCCUAUUUCUUCUCGCCAUUUUCGCCAUCCUCGCGCAACUGCUGCCGAAUCUAGGGAGGGGCCGGGGGCUUCGCGGGCGCACCUGCUGCUGCUGCCAGCUCUUGGAGCCACCCCAGCAGCGCCGCUGAUUCGCGGGAGGAGGGCCCAACGUGGUGGCCGGGCUGGAGCGAGGGUUUGCGAAGGCGCGGCCGCGCGGGGGUGGCGGUGUUACCCGGCGCCAGUUCUGCAACUCCCCGUUCGAGAGGAGCAGUUAGGAUGCAAUGCAGAAGAUUUGGUGGCGUUCUCCACCGGACCGGGCGAAUUGAGGUGAUGGUUUCAUCGGGAGGAAUCUACAGAUUGAGCACAAAGUUCGGCCCGUCUGCGUCUCACCCCGCCCCUGCUUUUUUUGGUGCUGUGUUCCGGGAUGUAGCGUUGGUUUUCCGGGUGGUCUUCGUUAUCGUUCACUACUACAGAAUCCGUUACUCCUGCAAGCUCCCCACUAGCUCCCCACUGACGCAAAACUAAAAUGCGUCAGCAUGGAUUCUCAUGUUUGGCGCUUCUUAUAAGGAUUGUCACUGGUAGCAUCUGGAGGCCGCGGUAAGAAGAUAUUUUUGACGCUUGCGGGUAGGAUGCAUCAGACAACGUCCACACUUCUUACGACUAGUUACUAUUGAUGCUUACAUGUCUUGCAAACGUCAGAGGAAGAACUAGCUAUUGUGACACUUUACUUCGCGGAAGCGUCAACUUUGUUCACGAGGAAUUCUCUGACACGUUGUUGUGUGUGGACGUCAACGUACUUUUUGACGCUCACGGACUUCUUUUUCUAAAGCAUGUCAGAGAAUUAUUGGAACUCAUUUUUUUACAUGCACGACGCGUAGUUGCUAAUUAAUUCAAAUUAAAGUGACGCUACAACUAAUAAAAACACAAAUCAAAACAUCAUCUAAUAGAGAUGCAAUGCUAACACAUACCACAUAGAAGCUGGUCUGCUUUUGUAGCUGAACUUUGAGGUUUUCAAUCAGUUUCUUCGCUUCUUAUAUCUUUGUUUCGAGAUCUUCUAUCACCCUGUCCUGGGCAGCAAGAUUGAACUCUAGUUUGAGCUUAUCAGCGGACAAUUUGCUGUUCACCUUCUUUUCUUUCUUUAGCAUGGUUUGCAGCUUCGACACUUGAGUUACCUCCACCAUCCUACCUUCCUCAAUGGAUAGGAGAUACUCGGAUCAUACUCUCUAUGUCUUGGACGGAGGAGGUGCAGGAAACGGAGUAACUAAGCCAUGACAUCAUUGAUUCAGCACCAUCGUUGGUGUAUCCACUACGACCCAUGAAGGAUUAAAGGAAAAGAUUUUGUGAGGGAUUUUUUUUUCCUUUUAAGUCGUUUUGGCAAUUUUAUUUCCGUAAGAAGAUGACCGGGGAUAUAUAUAGGUUGCUAGACAAUUGACACAUUUUCAAAUGACAAGAGUCAGCGGUGCAAGCUUUUGAAGCUCAAUAACCUUCUGACACUUGCAGUAGAAACGUGUCAGAAAUAUAUAUGGUCAAAGGAUGUCUGUGACACGUCCUAUGAAAGAUGCGUUAGAGAUAUGUAUGGAAUCUAUAUAAGUCACGGGCGCAGGUCAAAAAGGCAGCGUGUUCACACUUCAGAGCGAGCUCAGUAUAGGUGCAUGCAUAGCCAUGGCGAUGCAUUGGGAAGACACUGGUGCUCCUCUUUAUCCGGUCCGUCGCCUCCCCUUCCGGUCCAUGGACUGCCUCGCCUCAGGGCAGAUCAAAAAGCGGCAAAAUGCAGUGCAAGUUGAGUAAGAACAACUCCACCAUGGUUCGCAAGAUAAUAGCUGCGUACUGCCGUCUAAAUGGGUGGGAGAUCCAAGAGCGACCACGUUCGUCCACUACGCCGGCGUUGGCUGAGCCGACGCCUCCGAGGGGUCUUCAUGCAGGCUCUCCGCCUCCGUCGCCGCCUCAGCCUUAGCCUCAACCUCCUCAGCUGCCUCCACCUAAGCUUCCUCAGCUGAGGAUUCCACCGUUCACCGCCGGUGAGGCUCCGGCGGUGAAACGGCGUCGAGAGAUGUCCACGACGUACCUCGGUGAUCGUGAUUACGUUCCUUAAAUCACCUCCGUGUUCUUCUUCAUUGCAUCAACUACCUCCUCCGCCAUAAGCACAUUCCUUUUUCCUACGACCCAAAACACCGGCUCCUCUUGUUGUCCCGGACCGCGCACCUCGCCUUCUUGGGCAUGGCGCUGCGCAGCUCAUGGAUGAUGUUGCCGACAUAUCAGGGCGCUGUUUGAUCAUGUCGACAACGCUUUGAUGUGUGUACCUUGUAUGAAAUGUAGCAGAUCAUUGUAUGCAAAUGCAAUGUAAUGUGGCGACCUGAUUUGAAAUCUAGCAGAUCUUAUAUGCAAAUGCAAUGUAUUGUGUUCGAUCUUAUAUAAAAUGUAGCAGAUCUUGUCUGCAAUGUAAUGUGGUCGAUCUUGUUUGAAAUGUAGCAGAUCUUGCAUAAUUCGCUCAAUGUUUCCCUGCAAUUUAAAUUAACAAUUUAAUGGUUGAAUCUAACGUUGACAAAAAAAAGAUAUGAGCUGUAACUUUUUUUUACUUACAUAAGAUCCAUCACCGACGUGUUCUUUUUUAGGGAAGUGUCAAAGGUAAAAAUUUUUGACGCUUCGUUAGGCCCAAAACUGUCAGCGAAAAUACCACGAUACGACUAAUGAGGUUCGGAGAAGAUCACUCCUGACACGUGCAUUGGAAGAUGUGUCAAGACGUAUUUCCUAUUUCUGAUGCGACGCCACGCAUCAGAAGUUUCCGAGGCAUUUCUGACACUUGAUUGCAGACGCGUCCGAUUUGUGUUAGUAUAGAGGUUUUCCGAAAUGUCAGAAAUAAGUGAUUAUGUAGUGUGGCUGGGCGUUUGUUGGCGGUCUAUGCUUUCGUCCUUACGGUGGCUGUUCGUUUGGCUGGGUGUUUAGGUGGCUAUCGUGCGUUCUUGCGUCUGGUUGUUCUGUUGUUGAUUUACUUCCUUUUCACUCGGUGCAGGUGCUGUGUUUGGGGCCGUGACGUUGGUUCUCCUGGGGGUGUUCGCUGUUGUUGCCCGCCUCGAGUCGCGUGGCACGCAGUCGUGGGUCGGGGACCCAGGGUGGCGGUGGUUCUGGUGUACGUGGUUCUGUUUUGGCUUCGCGCGCUCGGGUGUCUGUUACGCGGAGUGGGCAUGUGUUUCGCAACUGGGGUGGCCGGGGGCCUGCUCGACGUGUUGGGCGGUUGUACGGUACCCGGGGGGGCGCGUCUGUUGCAAGUAGGGUGCGCACGCCGACGUUCGGGAGUGGACGUGCGCUAGGUGACGGGAGGGGCCUGCGUCCGGUCCCUGCGAUGAGAGCGUGUCUGGUCCCCGAGACGAGAGCGUCUCCGGUCCUUGUGGGUGAGAGCGUCUCUGGUCCCCGGGGUGGGAAAAGAUUCAGUCCCCGGGUUCGGCGAGGCGGGAGGCGUGGUGUCCAAGAUCAUGCCGCCGACCUCGCUCUUCCUGGUGCGGGUUCUAUGCCUUUGGUUCCACCGAUCGUGGUCGCUGAGCCAUUCGCACUGAUUCCAAGCGGUCGUGGUUCUCUGAUUGGUAACCUUAUUUUGCCGCGUGUUGAUCAUGUUUCUGCCGGUGCGGUCCGUCAGAGGAGACGAAUGCAUCGACGGCCGUGGUUUUCGGUCACUUGUUCUCUUGACGAGCGACCGAGGCGAGUCGCCUGGCGUGCCUGGCCUUUUCUCUCGUGACCUCUGCGACACGCCAGGCCCGUGCUUCUUCUAAGUGUUCAAUGGAUGCUGACUGCCCUCCAUCUGUGGCAAGCGGUGGCUCGGGUGUUUUUGCAAGGGGAGGCACGGCCACCGCGCUUCCAGACGAUGGGAGAUAGCCAGCGAAUGUUGCUCGAGCAAAAGAUCUCGGUGUAUAUUCCAGCAAGUUUUAUUUUAUUACCCAACAACCAUUCUAUAUGCUUAAUUCUAGCAAGUUUUGGUCA